GCGCAGGCGCAGGCGCAGAGGCCGACACCACGGGGCGGCUGGUAUGUGUCCACCGGCCCCUAGGCGCCUCGAGCCCCGCCCCUGGGAGACGCAGGCUCCUCCCCGCGGAGCGAGAGCCCGCGGAGCUGCUCCGAGACCCGCGGGAGGGCACCUCCGGUCACCCGAGCCGCAAAUCCCCGCCGUCCGAAGGGGGUGUCGCCCCGGGCUGUCGGCCCAGCGUGGCUUAGGCCAGGUACAACCGGCAGCGCCCGCCAAGCCCUGGGCUAGGGACGCCUGCGGGAGUUCACGGGGAGGCGCCGGUGUCUGAGGUCUGAGAAGACAGCGGCCACCGGAAAAGGUGCUAAUGUUUGCAGACCCCGAUCCAUCGACACCCCAAGGAAAUGCUGUGCACAAAAUUCCAAGAGGGCCUUUUCGAAUAGACGCAUGAACGGUGUUUGUGUCUGGAUCGUCCAGCCUCCCGGGAUCGAUUGGGAAUCUAGCUUCUGCUUGCCUUUCCAGCGCGACGCACAGUAGGAGCCUAAUAAAUGUUUGCUGAAUGAAUGCUGAAUAUCGAA
rnacentral:lncRNA from 10 species